CAAAGGUUUGGUCCUGACUUUACUAUCAGCUUUGACUAUACUUACACAUGCAAGUAUCCGCACCCCUAUGAGAAUGCCCUUAACUUCCAGGACUGGAAGAAAGGAGCUGGCAUCAGGCACAUCAAACUAAAGACAGCCCAAAACGCCUUGCUUAGCCAUACCCCCAAGGGAACUCAGCAGUGAUAAACAUUAAGCCAUUAGUGAAAACUUGACUUAGUUAAAGACAACAGGGCCGGUAAAACUCGUGCCAGCCACCGCGGUUAUACGAGAGGCCCGAGUUGAUAGGAAUCGGCACAAAGGGUGGUUAAGAAAACUAAAUGGUAAAGCCGAACCUCUUCCCAGCUGUCAUACGCAAACGAAGAGACGAAGCCCCUAUACGAAGGUAGCUUUAUUAAUAUCUGAACCCACGACAGCUAAGACACAAACUGGGAUUAGAGACCCCACUAUGCAUAGCCGUAAACUUUGAUAGAAAAAUUAAAUCUAUCCGCCUGGGAACUACAAGCGCUAGCUUAAAACCCAAAGGACUUGGCGGUGCUUCAGACCCACCUAGAGGAGCCUGUUCUAGAACCGAUAAUCCCCGUUCAACCUCACCACCCCUUGUUAAUACAGCCUAUAUACCGCCGUCGUCAGCUUACCCCGCAAGGGCCUUAUAGUAAGCACAAUUAGCAUCGCUCAAUACGUCAGGUCGAGGUGUAGCAUAUGAGGUGGGAAGAAAUGGGCUACACUCUCUAAUGCAGAGUACACGAAUGAUGUGAUGAAAGAUACAUCUAAAGGAGGAUUUAGCAGUAAGCAGGGAAUAGAGAGCCCUACUGAAACUGGCUCUGAAGCACGUACACACCGCCCGUCACUCUCCCCAAGUCCAUUAAAUAUUUAAAUAAAAAACUACCAGACCCAAGGGGAGGCAAGUCGUAACAUGGUAAGUGUACUGGAAAGUGCACUUGGAUAAAC
rnacentral:ncRNA from 1 species